ensembl:snRNA U6 U6 spliceosomal RNA
GUGCUGGGUUCGGCAGCACAUAUAAUAAAAAUUGGAAUGAUACAGAGAAGAUUAACAUGUCCCCUGCGCAAGGAUGACACACAAAUUUGUGAAGGAACAAUAGAUGAG